rnacentral:rRNA from 1 species
UGCUUCUCUUGAGAGCGGCGGACGGGUGAGUAAUGCCUAGGAAUCUGCCUAGUGGUGGGGGAUAACGUUCGGAAACGGACGCUAAUACCGCAUACGUCCUACGGGAGAAAGCGGGGGAUCUUCGGACCUCGCGCCAUUAGAUGAGCCUAGGUCGGAUUAGCUAGUUGGUGAGGUAAUGGCUCACCAAGGCGACGAUCCGUAACUGGUCUGAGAGGAUGAUCAGUCACACUGGAACUGAGACACGGUCCAGACUCCUACGGGAGGCAGCAGUGGGGAAUAUUGGACAAUGGGCGAAAGCCUGAUCCAGCCAUGCCGCGUGUGUGAAGAAGGUCUUCGGAUUGUAAAGCACUUUAAGUUGGGAGGAAGGGUAGUAACUUAAUACGUUGCUACUUUGACGUUACCGACAGAAUAAGCACCGGCUAACUUCGUGCCAGCAGCCGCGGUAAUACGAAGGGUGCAAGCGUUAAUCGGAAUUACUGGGCGUAAAGCGCGCGUAGGUGGUUCAGUAAGUUGGAAGUGAAAUCCCCGGGCUCAACCUGGGAACUGCUUUCAAAACUGCUGAGCUAGAGUACGGUAGAGGGUGGUGGAGUUUCCUGUGUAGCGGUGAAAUGCGUAGAUAUAGGAAGGAACACCAGUGGCGAAGGCGACCACCUGGACUGAUACUGACACUGAGGUGCGAAAGCGUGGGGAGCAAACAGGAUUAGAUACCCUGGUAGUCCACGCCGUAAACGAUGUCAACUAGCCGUUGGAAUCCUUGAGAUUUUAGUGGCGCAGCUAACGCAUUAAGUUGACCGCCUGGG